AGCAUUGCGCAGUGGCAGUAUCAUAGCCAAUGAGGUUUAUCCGAGGCACAAUCACUGGUAAUUGAAAACUUCCCGAUACCCCACCAUGAUGACUUGAAAUACAGUCAGCAUUGGCACUUUUUGGCAGUCUCUACGGGGA
ensembl:snRNA U4 U4 spliceosomal RNA